rnacentral:tRNA from 1 species
UGGGCUUGUAGCUCAGUGGAUUAGAGCACGUGGCUACGAACCACGGUGUCGGGGGUUCGAAUCCCUCCCUGCCCGA